UACGGGGGGGGCGAGCGUUGUUCGGAAUUAUUGGGCGUAAAGGGCGCGUAGGCGGUGUGGCAAGUCAGGUGUGAAACCUCCAGGCUCAACUUGGAGCUUGCAUCUGAAACUGCCGUGCUAGAGUGUGGGAGAGGAGAGUGGAAUUCCUGGUGUAGCGGUGAAAUGCGCAGAUAUCAGGAGGAACACCGGUGGCGAAGGCGGCCUUCUGGACAGUGACUGACGCUGAGACGCGAAAGCGUGGGGAGCAAACAGG
rnacentral:rRNA from 1 species